UCCACCCAGCCCCACUAUUAAAAACCUCUCACAUAAGAGCUCUCCUUUAUAUGUAAUUACCUCAAGCACCUGGGGCAAGGCUGUUAUUAUUACUCUCAGUUGUGGAACAGGAGAGCUUAGUAUGACUGCUGGAAGAAGAGUUAGCUCCUAAGUGUAAAAGCCUGGUGGCUAUUUGCCCCUAAGAAAAAGCUAAUAGGCCAGUUAAUGGCCUGAUGGAAGAAACCACAAGCAAACUUGAUUUUAUGACUGCACAGUUUUUGUCAUCUACAUUGGAAGAGAGAUCCUUAAGGAGGAGAUGAUUAUAUAUGUAAGCCAUUACAAGAAGAAAAGUGGGGGGAAAAAAUCUGUCU